CCCUGAAAGCAUUUAUUUAAGGUAUGCUUUAACUGAAUAUGCUAAACUUCAUGACAACGCUAAUUAUGGAACAUGAACACAAACCCAGCUUUCAGAGGUUUUAGAUGAAUCCCACUUAAAAUGUAAAAGUAUUUCAGGAUAGAUUAAGUGAGGGACCUGGAGAUUUUUAUCCAUUCUUAUGUAAGCAGAUAUAAUUUCUGAAAAAAAAUAAUAAUCAACUGCUUUUCAGGAUGAAGUAAUGGUAGACCUUUUAAUCCCAUUUAAUGACUUAUGUCUCUACCAAAUACUUCAUUUAAAGGCUAUUCAUUGGCCUUUUAUGGCAUGCUAUUCUGCAAAAAGUUUCUAGAAACCUGAAACUCACUUCAGUCCCAUUCCAGUAAGCUGAAAAAGGAUUGCAACUCCUGCUUUAGAGCCCCAGAUGUCCGUAACACCCACUCAGAAAACACACAGGCUCUCAACCAGAAGCUAAAGAGAGUGGACUCUGACUGCUACAGUACUGACCCGACCCAGAUAUUAACCCGAGCAUCCAGAUGUGAGCUGAAGGCAAGAUUACUGCAUCACUGCACCACUUCUAAUGAGGAGGAUCCUGAAUCGACCCCAAAGCCAAUAACGCCCUCAGAUGAGCCCUGCCUCAUAAGUGAAAAGUGAUACUGAUUACACGGUCAAAUAAAUAUUCUACAAUCCAUUAGGCGUGCACUGAUUUAAAUUAAAGUGGUCAUCACAUUUUAUUAGUUUAUCUUAUUAUCGGUAAAUAAACAUUAGCUGAGACUCGUUAGGGAUUCAGCUUCAUCACACGUCACUUAAGAGUAGCAGUUUGUUCACAAUCGACCACAAUUUUCUCAGACUGGUAAACUGAAUAGUUUGUGACAAUUAUUUAAUGCGUUCAUUGUAAUUAAUCGUGUGUAUCUCACAGCUCAAUACCUUAAUUUAAAAAGUUACAGGCUAUAACCUGAUUCAGUAUUAUGGCAACAUUUCAAAUUCACCUAAAGAAAGAUUUAAUUUUAAGGAACUGGGAAGCCACACCUACUUCAUUAGAACUGACAGACAGUGGUCACGCCUCCUUCAGUAGAACUGGCACACACAAAGGCCAAGCCUUCCUCACUGGGAACAGAAAACCAAAAAGGCCAUGUCUGCUUCACUAUAACUGACACACACAGAGGCCACGCCUCCUUCAUAGAGACUGACGGACGCAUAGGCCGUACCUCCUUCACAGAAACCGAUGGACACAGAAAGCCACGCCUCUGUUACUAGAACAGACAGGCACAGAGACCCCGCCUCCAUCACUAGAACGGACAGGCAAAAAGGCCACACCUCGGUUACUAGAACUGACAGGCACAGAGGCCCCGCCUCCUUCACUGGGAAUAGACAAGCACAGAGGCCACGCCUCCUUCACUGGGAAUAGACAAGCCCAGAGGCCCCGCCUCCUUCACUGGGAAUAGACAAGCCCAGAGGCCACGCCUCCUUCACUGGGAAUUGACAAGCCCAGAGGCCACGCCUCCUUCACUGGGAAUAGACAAGCCCAGAGGCCACGCCUCCUUCACUGGGAAUAGACAAGCCCAGAGGCCACGCCUCCUUCACUGGGAAUAGACAAGCCGAGAGGCCACGCCUCCUUCACUGGGAAUAGACAAGCCCAGAGGCCACGCCUCCCCUCACUGGGAAUAGACAAGCCCAGAGGCCACACCUCCUUCACUGGGAAUUGACAAGCCCAGAGGCCACGCCUCCUUCACUGGGAAUAGACAAGCCCAGAGGCCACGCCUCCUUCACUGGGAAUAGACAAGCCCAGAGGCCACGCCUCCUUCACUGGGAGUAGACAAGCACAGAGGCCACGCCCCCUCACUGGAAAUAGACAAGCACAGAGGCCACGCCUCCUUCACUGGGAAUAGACAAGCACAGAGGCCAUGCCAUUCACUAGUACUGACAGGCAUAGAGGCC
ensembl:lncRNA